rnacentral:rRNA from 1 species
AAGCAGGGGAUCGUAAGACCUUGCGCUUUUGGAGCGGCCGAUGCCUGAUUAGCUAGUUGGUGGGGUAAGGGCCUACCAAGGCGACGAUCAGUAGCUGGUCUGAGAGGACGACCAGCCACACUGGGACUGAGACACGGCCCAGACUCCUACGGGAGGCAGCAGUGGGGAAUUUUGGACAAUGGGCGAAAGCCUGAUCCAGCAAUGCCGCGUGAGUGAAGAAGGCCUUCGGGUUGUAAAGCUCUUUCAGUCGAGAAGAAAAGGUCGCGACUAAUAAUCGCGACUCAUGACGGUAUCGACAGAAGAAGCACCGGCUAACUACGUGCCAGCAGCCGCGGUAAUACGUAGGGUGCGAGCGUUAAUCGGAAUUACUGGGCGUAAAGGGUGCGCAGGCGGCUUUGUAAGUCAGAUGUGAAAUCCCCGGGCUUAACCUGGGAAUUGCGUUUGAAACUACAAAGCUAGAGU